rnacentral:RNase_P_RNA from 1 species
AGUAAGCCGGACGGUCGCGGCCGCAUAUGCGGGUGAGGAAAGUCCGGGCUUCACAGAGCGGGAUACCGGCUAACGGCCGGCGGAGGCGACUCCAGGGACAGUGCAACAGAAAAUAAACGCUUUCCUUUUUGGGAGAGUAAGUGUGGAAAUGUGCGGUAAGAGCGCACAGGAAAGAUGGUAACUGAAUUUCCGUGUAAACCCUAUCCGAAGCAACUUUGGGAAUGUUAAGCCUGCUCGGCAUUUUCCCUAUAUAAGGCUUGAACGUGUCGGUAACGACACGGUUAGAUAGAUGAUCGUCCAAGACAGAACCCGGCUUACAGGCUUGCUCAU